GACGAACGCUGGCGGCGUGCUUAACACAUGCAAGUCGAACGGAAAGGCCCUGCUUUUGUGGGGUGCUCGAGUGGCGAACGGGUGAGUAACACGUGAGUAACCUGCCCUUGACUUUGGGAUAACUUCAGGAAACUGGGGCUAAUACCGGAUAGGAGCUCCUGCUGCAUGGUGGGGGUUGGAAAGUUUCGGCGGUUGGGGAUGGACUCGCGGCUUAUCAGCUUGUUGGUGGGGUAGUGGCUUACCAAGGCUUUGACGGGUAGCCGGCCUGAGUGGGUGACCGGCCUCAUUGGGACUGAGAUGCGGCCCAGACUCCUACGGGAGGCAGCAGUGGGGAAUAUUGCACAAUGGGCGGAAGCCUGAUGCAGCAACGCCGCGUGCGGGAUGACGGCCUUCGGGUUGUAAACCGCUUUCGCCUGUGACGAAGCGUGAGUGACGGUAAUGGGUAAAGAAGCACCGGCUAACUACGUG
rnacentral:rRNA from 1 species